GGCUUUCCUGCGUCCCAGGGGAAGAAAAGAUGAUAAAGCCACAGGAUCUACACAACCUUCGUUUUUCUACUAGGAAAGAUCAAAACCCUUAGAAUGAAUUCCAGGUUCCUGCUACCAGACUGUGAGACACGAAGCUGUGCUCAGACCUCGGCAAAUCCAGUCGUGUUGUUUGAAAUUCGUGGACGUAAAGGAAACAGUGAGAAAAAUAUUUACAAUUGAAACCCACGGCAGCGGGGAUUCCGAUGCUACAGAUAUUUGUUUUUUCAUUUUCCUUUGAUGUGUCUUGGAUCUUCCCAUUAGAACUAGAAGUGGUGGAAA